rnacentral:tRNA from 2 species
GGUCCCGUAGCUCAGUUGGAUAGAGCGUCCGCCUCCUAAGUGGAAGGUCGCUGGUUCGAAUCCAGCCGGGAUCACCA